rnacentral:rRNA from 1 species
GAGCGGGGKAUUCAUUGGGAAACAGAUGCUAAUUAUACAUAACAAUUUGAAUCGCAUGAUUCAAAUUUAAAAGAUGGCUUCGGCUAUCACUUUGGGAUGGACCUGCGGCGCAUUAGCUUGUUGGUAGGGUAACGGCCUACCAAGGCUGUGAUGCGUAGCCGAGUUGAGAGACUGAUCGGCCACAAUGGAACUGAGACACGGUCCAUACUCCUACGGGAGGCAGCAGUAGGGAAUCUUCCACAAUGGGCGCAAGCCUGAUGGAGCAACACCGCGUGAGUGAAGAAGGGUUUCGGCUCGUAAAGCUCUGUUGUUAGAGAAGAACGUGCGUGAGAGUAACUGUUCAUGCAGUGACGGUAUCUAACCAGAAAGUCACGGCUAACUACGUGCCAGCAGCCGCGGUAAUACGUAGGUGGCAAGCGUUAUCCGGAUUUAUUGGGCGUAAAGCGAGCGCAGGCGGUUUGAUAAGUCUGAUGUGAAAGCCUUUGGCUUAACCAAAGAAGUGCAUCGGAAACUGUCAGACUUGAGUGCAGAAGAGGACAGUGGAACUCCAUGUGUAGCGGUGGAAUGCGUAGAUAUAUGGAAGAACACCAGUGGCGAAGGCGGCUGUCUGGUCUGCAACUGACGCUGAGGCUCGAAAGCAUGGGUAGCGAACAGGAUUAGAUACCCUGGUAGUCCAUGCCGUAAACGAUGAGUGCUAGGUGUUGGAGGGUUUCCGCCCUUCAGUGCCGCAGCUAACGCAUUAAGCACUCCGCCUGGGGAGUACGACCGCAAGGUUGAAACUCAAAGGAAUUGACGGGGGCCCGCACAAGCGGUGGAGCAUGUGGUUUAAUUCGAAGCUACGCGAAGAACCUUACCAGGUCUUGACAUCUUGCGCCAACCCUAGAGAUAGGGCGUUUCCUUCGGGAACGCAAUGACAGGUGGUGCAUGGUCGUCGUCAGCUCGUGUCGUGAGAUGUUGGGUUAAGUCCCGCAACGAGCGCAACCCUUGUUACUAGUUGCCAGCAUUCAGUUGGGCACUCUAGUGAGACUGCCGGUGACAAACCGGAGGAAGGUGGGGACGACGUCAGAUCAUCAUGCCCCUUAUGACCUGGGCUACACACGUGCUACAAUGGACGGUACAACGAGUCGCGAACUCGCGAGGGCAAGCUAAUCUCUUAAAACCGUUCUCAGUUCGGACUGCAGGCUGCAACUUACCUGCACGAAGUCGGAAUCGCUAGUAAUCGCGGAUCASCAUCMCGCCGGGAAAACGUUCCCCCCCGUURUACACACCGCCWCUCACUACCGUGAGA